UACGGGGGGGGCAAGCGUUGUUCGGAAUUACUGGGCGUAAAGGCUCGUAGGCGGCCAACUAAGUCAGACGUGAAAUCCCCAGGCUCAACCUGGGAACUGCGUCUGAUACUGGAUGGCUUGAAUCCGGGAGAGGGAUGCAGAAUUCCAGGUGUAGCGGUGAAAUGCGUAGAUAUCUGGAGGAAUACCGGUGGCGAAGGCGGCAUCCUGGACCGGCAUUGACGCUGGGAGCGAAAGCCAGGGAGCAAACGG
rnacentral:rRNA from 1 species